AUCAUCGCUCGUGGGCCAAUGACUCAUCCAAUGAGGUUCUAACCGAGGCGCGUCUAUUGCUGGUUGAAAAUAAUUUCCAAAUCCCAUCUUCGGACUUGGUUUACUCCAGGCCUUUGAGAAUUUCUGUAAGGGGUCCC